rnacentral:rRNA from 1 species
AUUGAACGCUGGCGGCAGGCUUAACACAUGCAAGUCGAGCGGGGGAAGGUAGCUUGCUACCGGACCUAGCGGCGGACGGGUGAGUAAUGCUUAGGAAUCUGCCUAUUAGUGGGGGACAACAUCUCGAAAGGGAUGCUAAUACCGCAUACGUCCUACGGGAGAAAGCAGGGGAACUUCGGACCUUGCGCUAAUAGAUGAGCCUAAGUCGGAUUAGCUAGUUGGUGGGGUAAAGGCCUACCAAGGCGACGAUCUGUAGCGGGUCUGAGAGGAUGAUCCGCCACACUGGGACUGAGACACGGCCCAGACUCCUACGGGAGGCAGCAGUAGGGAAUAUUGGACAAUGGGGGGAACCCUGAUCCAGCCAUGCCGCGUGUGUGAAGAAGGCCUUAUGGUUGUAAAGCACUUUAAGCGAGGAGGAGGCUACUUUAGUUAAUACCUAGAGAUAGUGGACGUUACUCGCAGAAUAAGCACCGGCUAACUCUGUGCCAGCCGCCGCAGUAA